rnacentral:rRNA from 1 species
GAUCUGGUCAGGAUGAACGCUAGCGGCAGGCUUAACACAUGCAAGUCGAGGGGCAACGCGAGUAGCAAUACUUGGCGGCGACCGGCGCAAGGGUGCGUAACGCGUGAGCAACAUGCCCGUAUCAGGGGGAUAAUCCAGGGGAAACUUGGUCUAAUACCCCAUAGUAAUUUUUGUAAGGCAUCUUAUAAGAUUUUAAAGCUUUGGUGGAUACGGAUUGGCUCGCGUGACAUUAGCUGGAUGGUAAGGUAACGGCUUACCAUGGCUAUGAUGUCUAGGGGUUCUGAGAGGAAGGUCCCCCACACUGGAACUGAGACACGGUCCAGACUCCUACGGGAGGCAGCAGUGAGGAAUAUUGGACAAUGGAUGGAAAUCUGAUCCAGCCAUGCCGCGUGAAGGAAAGAAGGUCCUAUGGAUUGUAAACUUCUUUUGUAUGGGAGCAAUAAGGCCUACGAGUAGGUUGAUGAGAGUACCAUACGAAUAAGCACCGGCUAACUCCGUGCCAGCCGCUGC